GGACAAUAAAUAAAAUAUACAUAUAAUAAAUCUUAGGAGUUAAAAUAGUUAACCAAAUAUUAUUUU
rnacentral:tRNA from 1 species